GGCCAGAUAGCUUAGUUGGUAGAGCACCUAACUAUAGUUUAGGGGACCCGGGUUCGAAUCCCGGUCUGAUCC